UGUGUGUUAGUGGAAGCGUCUGGAAAGGCGCGCGAUACAGGGUGACAGCCCCGUACACAAAAAUGCACAUACUGUGAGCUCGAUGAGUAGGGCGGGACACGUGGUAUCCUGUCUGAAUAUGGGGGGACCAUCCUCCAAGGCUAAAUACUCCUGACUGACCGAUAGUGAACCAGUACCGUGAGGGAAAGGCGAAAAGAACCCCGGCGAGGGGAGUGAAAAAGAACCUGAAACCGUGUACGUACAAGCAGUGGGAGCACAGAGCAAUCUGUGUGACUGCGUACCUUUUGUAUAAUGGGUCAGCGACUUAUAUUCUGUAGCAAGGUUAACCGAAUAGGGGAGCCGAAGGGAAACCGAGUCUUAACUGGGCGUUAAGUUGCAGGGUAUAGACCCGAAACCCGGUGAUCUAGCCAUGGGCAGGUUGAAGGUUGGGUAACACUAACUGGAGGACCGAACCGACUAAUGUUGAAAAAUUAGCGGAUGACUUGUGGCUGGGGGUGAAAGGCCAAUCAAACCGGGAGAUAGCUGGUUCUCCCCGAAAGCUAUUUAGGUAGCGCCUCGUGAAUUCAUCUCCGGGGGUAGAGCACUGUUUCGGCAAGGGGGUCAUCCCGACUUACCAACCCGAUGCAAACUGCGAAUACCGGAGAAUGUUAUCACGGGAGACACACGGCGGGUGCUAACGUCCGUCGUGAAGAGGGAAACAACCCAGACCGCCAGCUAAGGUCCCAAAGUCAUGGUUAAGUGGGAAACGAUGUGGGAAGGCCCAGACAGCCAGGAUGUUGGCUUAGAAGCAGCCAUCAUUUAAAGAAAGCGUAAUAGCUCACUGGUCGAGUCGGCCUGCGCGGAAGAUGUAACGGGGCUAAACCAUGCACCGAAGCUGCGGCAGCGACGCUGAUGCGUUGUUGGGUAGGGGAGCGUUCUGUAAGCCUGUGAAGGUGUGCUGUGAGGCAUGCUGGAGGUAUCAGAAGUGCGAAUGCUGACAUAAGUAACGAUAAAGCGGGUGAAAAGCCCGCUCGCCGGAAGACCAAGGGUUCCUGUCCAACGUUAAUCGGGGCAGGGUGAGUCGACCCCUAAGGCGAGGCCGAAAGGCGUAGUCGAUGGGAAACAGGUUAAUAUUCCUGUACUUGGUGUUACUGCGAAGGGGGGACGGAGAAGGCUAUGUUGGCCGGGCGACGGUUGUCCCGGUUUAAGCGUGUAGGCUGGUUUUCCAGGCAAAUCCGGAAAAUCAAGGCUGAGGCGUGAUGACGAGGCACUACGGUGCUGAAGCAACAAAUGCCCUGCUUCCAGGAAAAGCCUCUAAGCAUCAGGUAACAUCAAAUCGUACCCCAAACCGACACAGGUGGUCAGGUAGAGAAUACCAAGGCGCUUGAGAGAACUCGGGUGAAGGAACUAGGCAAAAUGGUGCCGUAACUUCGGGAGAAGGCACGCUGAUAUGUAGGUGAAGUCCCUCGCGGAUGGAGCUGAAAUCAGUCGAAGAUACCAGCUGGCUGCAACUGUUUAUUAAAAACACAGCACUGUGCAAACACGAAAGUGGACGUAUACGGUGUGACGCCUGCCCGGUGCCGGAAGGUUAAUUGAUGGGGUCAGCGCAAGCGAAGCUCUUGAUCGAAGCCCCGGUAAACGGCGGCCGUAACUAUAACGGUCCUAAGGUAGCGAAAUUCCUUGUCGGGUAAGUUCCGACCUGCACGAAUGGCGUAAUGAUGGCCAGGCUGUCUCCACCCGAGACUCAGUGAAAUUGAACUCGCUGUGAAGAUGCAGUGUACCCGCGGCAAGACGGAAAGACCCCGUGAACCUUUACUAUAGCUUGACACUGAACAUUGAGCCUUGAUGUGUAGGAUAGGUGGGAGGCUUUGAAGUGUGGACGCCAGUCUGCAUGGAGCCGACCUUGAAAUACCACCCUUUAAUGUUUGAUGUUCUAACGUUGACCCGUGAUCCGGGUUGCGGACAGUGUCUGGUGGGUAGUUUGACUGGGGCGGUCUCCUCCUAAAGAGUAACGGAGGAGCACGAAGGUUGGCUAAUCCUGGUCGGACAUCAGGAGGUUAGUGCAAUGGCAUAAGCCAGCUUGACUGCGAGCGUGACGGCGCGAGCAGGUGCGAAAGCAGGUCAUAGUGAUCCGGUGGUUCUGAAUGGAAGGGCCAUCGCUCAACGGAUAAAAGGUACUCCGGGGAUAACAGGCUGAUACCGCCCAAGAGUUCAUAUCGACGGCGGUGUUUGGCACCUCGAUGUCGGCUCAUCACAUCCUGGGGCUGAAGUAGGUCCCAAGGGUAUGGCUGUUCGCCAUUUAAAGUGGUACGCGAGCUGGGUUUAGAACGUCGUGAGACAGUUCGGUCCCUAUCUGCCGUGGGCGCUGGAGAACUGAGGGGGGCUGCUCCUAGUACGAGAGGACCGGAGUGGACGCAUCACUGGUGUUCGGGUUGUCAUGCCAAUGGCACUGCCCGGUAGCUAAAUGCGGAAGAGAUAAGUGCUGAAAGCAUCUAAGCACGAAACUUGCC
rnacentral:rRNA from 1 species